rnacentral:rRNA from 1 species
GACGAACGCUGGCGGCGUGCUUAACACAUGCAAGUCGAACGGGGCUUGCCCUUUGGGGUGGGUUUAGUGGCGAACGGGUGAGUAACACGUGGGUAAUCUGCCCUCAGCUCUGGGAUAACUCCGGGAAACCGGGGCUAAUACUGGAUAUGACUACUGGUGACAUCGCCUGGUGGUGGAAAGAUUUUUUGGCUGAGGAUGGGCCCGCGGCCUAUCAGCUUGUUGGUGGGGUAAUGGCCUACCAAGGCUUCGACGGGUAGCCGGCCUGAGAGGGCGACCGGCCACACUGGGACUGAGACACGGCCCAGACUCCUACGGGAGGCAGCAGUGGGGAAUCUUGCGCAAUGGGCGAAAGCCUGACGCAGCGACGCCGCGUGAGGGAUGACGCCU